GGAGAUCACUACUCUUGGAGCCCUUCUACAAGCACAGGAUAUGGAAAUGAGCAAAGUUAAGUCUGCAUGAAGCCUGCCGGAGUUCUGAACCUCAGUUACAUAAGGGUAGAGCAGACUGAUCUGGAAUCCAGGCUGACAACAAAAAGACUAUGGAGUCUGGAAAGAAGAAAAUGAACCAUGCUGCUUGAAAAUGAUAUUGGUUAAGAGCAGCUGGAUAACAGCAGAUCAGCAGUUUCUCUCUGUCAUUUUUUCUGAUCAAGUCUGAUGAAGUAGGAAAAUGUUCAAAAUGAGGAUGAGGAAAAUGUAGAGACAAAAUGUAUACUGACCUUUAGUGGAUGCAGCUGGCAUUUCUAGGCAAACUAAGCCACAGUAGGUGGGAAGCCACAGAUAUUCAAUGUACUCUUCCUGAGCUGUGUGAGACACUUCUAUGGAUAAAGACUUUAGGGAUGAGGAAUUUUCUAAAUGGGUAUGAUUGGACUGAAUCAGUGCUACGUCUGAUCCAGACUCAGAGUGGAAUACAGGACUUUCAGUGGUUAUUAAUUCAAACUCAGCAGGCCUCUGAAUCAGACAAAGUGUUUAAUGUAUGUUUUACAGCACCACUUCUGUUAAGCUAUUAAUUGAACUAUUUGUAGAAUCUAUGCAGAAUAAAACUU
rnacentral:lncRNA from 1 species